rnacentral:rRNA from 1 species
CCCAACAGUCAAUCCCAUCCACUGACAUGCUAACAGGAAUCAAGGCUUAGCUACAACAGAACACAAACAACCACACAAUAGGGUAGGGCCUGGUUAGUACUUGGAUGGGAGACCACCUAGGAAGACCAGGUGCUGUAGGCA